GUCGUUGGAAAUUUGAGGGAAGCUGUUCUUAGUACGAGAGGACCGGAAUGGACGAACCACUGGUGUACCAGUUGUAAUGCCAAUUGCAUUGCUGGGUAGCUAUGUUCGGAAGGGAUAACCGCUGAAAGCAUCUAAGUGGGAAGCCCCUCCCAAGAUAAGAUUUCUAUUAAGACCACUCGAAGACUACGAGUUUGAUAGGUCAGAGGUGUAAGCAUCGCAAGAUGUUGAGCUGACUGAUACUAAUAAGUCGUUUUGCUUCUUUAU
rnacentral:rRNA from 1 species